AGAGAUUCACAUGGUGUUGCACAAGUACGUUUUGUGACAGGCAAUAAAAUUUUAAGAAUUCUUAAGUCUAAGGGACUUGCUCCUGAUCUUCCUGAAGAUCUGUACCAUUUAAUUAAGAAGGCAGUUGCUGUUCGAAAGCAUCUUGAGAGGAACAGAAAGGUAAGCUAAUAAAUAAAACCUGGUGCUAAAUAGGACUGCUUGUACUAAAUUUUUUCGGUAAAAUGUAAUGCAUCUGGUUUGAAUUAUCCAAGGUGGCUUAGUACACAAACUAGUGUAGUGCUGCUUUGAAGUUCAAAUUCUAUCCAAAGAGAUUUUCAUUAGAGAAAGUGCAUGGUAGCUCUACAUUCUCUUAUUAAAUUAAUGUUUGAUAAUGUGAAGUCAUUUUGGGUGGUUUUCUUGAAUUGCACCAAAUUUUAUUUUUAGGAUAAGGAUGCUAAAUUCCGUCUGAUUCUGAUAGAGAGCCGGAUUCACCGUUUGGCUCGAUAUUAUAAGACCAAGCGAGUCCUCCCUCCCAAUUGGAAAUAUGAAUCAUCUACAGCCUCUGCCCUGGUCGCAUAAAUUUGUCUGUGUACUCAAGCAAUAAAGUGAUUGUUUAACUAAAA
rnacentral:sRNA from 1 species